CGCCACAGGAGUUCCAGCUUCAUUCUCAAAGCUGACCAAAAAUUGAAGAAAUUAUUACUUCUGAACUCUGCUCAAGACUGAUAUGAACCAAAAUGUCUACCAAAAAAGGUCUACGCUGCUGCAGAAAGGGGUGAUCCAGACACUCGGAACCAGAAGACAUCCUACCUUGCCAGUGAGGGAAGUUAGACUUCAGAAGCCUUUGAUCUUGUGUCACAUGGGAGACACUGAUGCCAUUGCUACUCAGACCAACUGAUGGAUGCGUGACUGGUACCUCAGGACACAAGACAAGGGCUUUAAAUUAUACAGCAGAG
ensembl:lncRNA